rnacentral:tRNA from 1 species
GGGGCCGUAGUUUAGCGGUAAAAACCCCCGACUCAUAAUCGGAGAGAUCGUCGGUUCGAAUCCGACCGGCCCCA